rnacentral:lncRNA from 1 species
AGGAACAACCCAACGUAAUAUGCUCUCACACUCUAUCAUAACAGUGGCAGACUGGCUGACAAAACUGCUACUUGAGCGUCAUCUGUGACUCAAAGAAGUGGCACGAAGAAGGAAGUUCAGUACCCGUGAUCUCAUCGGCCAACUUUCUGCAUGGGAGUCCCGGUUGUCAGGAGAAGACUGCAACAAAGUAUUGCAGGAUGAAAAUCAAGCCUUUUUGGUUAGCAGAAACGGUGGGCCUCCUAAUCAAGGCAUGGCUCGAGUGCCCACGAGGAGCUCUUCUUGGUAGGUCAGCCACAGUUCAGUUGUAAUUCAAAUUGGUAACUUUUGAAAGCACCACAAAUCAGUUUUUGUGUGCGUGCGUGUUUGUGUGUUGUG